AUGGGCUUCCACAUCAGCCCAGCAGUUAACUCUCUGACGGAUGAAAACGAUGGGGAAACAAUCGGAGAAGUUAGACAAAAUCAGAAUUCUGAAAACAGAGCUGUCUCCUCAGGACCUAGUUUACUAACUGUCUUCCUGGGAGUGGUGUGCAUUGCAGCCCUGAUGCUGCCUACAAUGGGGGAUGUGGAAUCGCUGGUGCCUCUCUACCUCCACUUAAGUGUGAAUCAAAAAUUAGUGGCUGCUUAUAUCUUAGGUCUUAUCACAAUGGCCAUACUUAGAACAUGAGCAAGGAUUUCAGUUGACUUCUGAAGUAAAUCUGUCUUGAAAAUAUGAAUGUGGACUGCCUUUUAUCUCUAUUUCACUCCAUUAACAUGCUACAAACUAUUGAAUGAUUUCAAGUAAUUGCAAAUGUAUAAUAUAUAUUUUAAAUUAUAAUUUAAUUUGAAGGACUGCAGAACAUUAUUUUACAGACAGCAAGGAUGCUUCUGAGUGACACCUAGGAAAUUAUUUGAAGAAAUUCUUUUAUACCUAUACCUGUUGUACAAGAGACUUUAAAACAUUUGUUAUUUGCUCACCUUUUUUUCCAAAUCACUUUGAUUGCUAGGGGUCAUGUAUGCUUCAAAGUUACAGGACUAAAAGAGCAAACUGACCGUCCUAAAACUAAAAUGACAUUUAUUCCCUAGCUACAAACAUCAGCGUUAUUAUGUUAAUUAUACCUUGCCCUCUAUCAUUAUAAGCGGUUGCCAUGGUGUGUCUAAAAAUAAGUGUUUUACCAUUAAUGUGUAGAGGGCAAACAAAGCAUAAAGUACUAAGGGAUCAUGCUUAUUCUAGGGUCUCACAGAAGACAGGACAUAUUAAUCUUGUGAAUUACAGAAUGGGUUGUGGUCCAGACACCAAGAAUCAUAGGGGUUUUUUAAAAAAAAAAACCUAAUGGAAGUAGGGUGACCUCUCUCUUUGGUCUAAGAGUUCUAAAGGAAGGUAGGCAUCUGUUUAAUUAGUUGGUUCACCCUGGCUUUACCUCUGGUUAAUGCUUUGUGUUAAAAGGAAGGAAAAAUCACUUGAUCUUUUCUUCCAAGCCCCUUCCCCGCCUGACUUGCCCAGACUGGGAUUACCAGAUACCAGGUGAUUUAUGUGGAGAUGAUUUUUCACCUUUAAACUCUAAGCCAAGUGUAGGAAACUCUUCAUAGCUGUGUCUAUUUUAUAUCAGUCACUGAGACUUUUUUUUAAGUUUUUAUUUAUUAUUAAGACAACUUUGCCAAAAAAAUCCCCUAAGCACAACUAUUUACAUUUCUUUAUAGCCUCUUUUGAUCUCUAACACAUAUAUGCAGUUUUAACUGUUAUUGUCAUAGUAACUGAUCUUUUGUCUAAGGAUUUUUACCUGAAAGCACAAUGCAUUAAGAGUCUCUUGAAAAUCAUCUUUCAGAUCUUUUUACAGAAUGAACUUAUGCACUGCUACAAACACAAAUGUAUGCCUGAGGUUGGUUUUUGCAGAAAAUAGUCNUAUAUCAGUCACUGAGACUUUUUUUUAAGUUUUAUUUAUUAUUAAGACAACUUUGCCAAAAAAAUCCCCUAAGCACAACUAUUUACAUUUCUUUAUAGCCUCUUUUGAUCUCUAACACAUAUAUGCAGUUUUAACUGUUAUUGUCAUAGUAACUGAUCUUUUGUCUAAGGAUUUUACCUGAAAGCACAAUGCAUUAAGAGUCUCUUGAAAAUCAUCUUUCAGAUCUUUUACAGAAUGAACUUAUGCACUGCUACAAACACAAAUGUAUGCCUGAGGUUGGUUUUUGCAGAAAAUAGUCUCCGCUUCUAAAAACUUCUAUGUCUAGUCUUCCAUAGGAAAUCCUCACUGUUUAACCGUGUGAGGAGCCUAAGUCAUUAAACGGAUCAUGUCUGUAUAUUGUGUAAUGAAUGAAAAGCACAUAAAUGUAAUCUACUUUGAACUUUGUAAAAAUUAUGUGUGGAGGCUAUUCUUAUUUAUCCAUCUCAAGUCCUGUGUGUGCACAUGUGCGCAAGUGCACAUACGUGUAUGUAUGUGUGUAUAAUAACACAUUGUAAUGUAAAGAACAGAAAUUACUUUAAAAAAUAAACAGAAAUGGAGACCUGAGC
ensembl:lincRNA